rnacentral:rRNA from 1 species
AACGAACGCUGGCGGCAGGCCUAACACAUGCAAGUCGAGCGGACAUCUUCGGACUUUAGCGGCGGCCGGGUGAGUAACGCGGGGGAACGUGCCCGUUUCUUCGGCAUAGCCUCGGGAAACUAGUUGUAAUACCGGAUGUACCCUUUGGGGGGAAGAUUGUUCGGCAAAGGAUCGGCCCGCGUUGUAUUGGGUAGGUGGUGGGGUAAUGGCCUUCCAAGCCGACGAGCCGGAGCUGGUAUGAGAGGAGGCUAAGCCACACUGGGACUGAGACACGACCCAGACUGCUACGGAAGGGAGCAGAGGGGAAUCUAAGAGAAGGGAGGAAAACCUGAUAUAGCCAUGCCGCGUGAGCGAUGAAGGCCUUAGGGUUGUAAAGCUGUUUCAGAGGGGAAGAUAAUGACGGUACCCGGAGAAGAAGCCCCGGCUAACUCCGUG